AACGCACAUUGCGCCCGCCAGUAUUCUGGCGGGCAUGCCUGUUCGAGCGUCAUUUCAACCCUCAAGCCCCCGCGGCUUGGUGUUGGGGACCGGCCCCGGCCGCCCCCGAAAUGCAGUGGCGACCUCGCCGCAGCCUCCCCUGCGUAGUAGCACAACCUCGCACCGGAGCGCGGAGACGGUCACGCCGUAAAACGCCCAACUUCUAAGAGUUGACCUCGGAUCAGGUAGGAAUACCCGCUGAACUUAA
rnacentral:misc_RNA from 1 species